CAGCGUUUAUAGAGCUCGGACCCUUUCGCUCUGACAGCUGCUCAGCCUUCUGUUCUCAGAGGCCCUGACACGGACUUGUCCCAUCCCCCCUACCAUGCCUGUGGAUCUCUCAUCCUGGCACUCAGGGUCCUUGUGCCCAGCUCGACCCGGUGCCCGCCAGCAGAAGCAAGAGCCACAGGACCAACACAGAAGUGCCGAGUUCAGGAGCAUGACUCUUGCGCGCGUGCGCACAAGCACUGGCCAGUGGCUAGGAUGCCGCGUUUCAGCUCGUCUGUCCCUGGGCCCCGAGGACAGUCUGGUGUGUCGGGCAGACAGCCGGGAGCCGGAGGGAAGGCAGCCUUGGAGGCGGCAGGAGGAGGACCAGGCUGCCUGCACCUCAAGUACGGUUCCUGUCAGCCGCAGCCACUAAUGACCCCAGCUUCUGUGAGGCCCGUCAGCACUCGCAGGAAUGAAAGGGGACCCCUGAGAUGUGCUCCGCCUAAGCAGACUGUGACCCCCCCCCCAGCCCCCCUCGCCUUCACUUCCUCAUCGAAGGCGGGGCUUCAGCCAGCAGAAGUACCUGGGGGAGGCACACUCCAAAAGACCCCCACAGCAGCCUUGCCCUUAUCCCGUCCAGCCCCAGCCUCAGCCUCCACCUUCCCAGCCCCGCCUUUGCCCCCCAAGUCCCGUGGGCACAGCCCGGCUCCACCCCUUCUCGGUGCGCACAUGGCUGUGUUUUGCAGAGUCAGUACUGGUGGCACCCACAGUCAAGUGCUCCUGAAAAGCCGUGGGGAGGGCACCCUUCCCCUAUCAUUAAAGUGUCAUUACACCCUUGUGGGGGGCUCUGAUCUGGUUUUUGGUCUUGUCCUCUUCUCCCAAACCAGCAGACCUGUGAACCCGACCCCUCUUCUCAGGGGCUUGUGGCCUUGAAUGAUUUUACUGAUUAUUGUAUGUCUCUGCAAAAGGCUUUCUAUGCUCAGCAUCUUUCUUCCUUUAGCAUGAGAAGGCGGACGAGUGUGAGACCCAUUUUCUAGCGACCGUGGGGGGCGGAUUGCACUCAGGUCCUGGUCUCAUGGUCCAUGGGUUCGAGCCUUGCAUCGGACUCCGGGCUGACAGUGCAGAGCCGGCUUGGGAUUCUCUCCUCUCUCGGCCCUUCCCCUACACGUGCACAAGCUCUCUCUCAAAAACAGAUGGAUAAACUUAAAAAAAAAAAAAAAAGAAGAAGAAGAAGAAGGUGACCCUGCGGAGGAAAUGACACACAGAGCCUGGCCUAGAUUUUCCAUCUCCCACUGACCGUCCCGCGGGCUUCCUUUCCCUCCACCUUCUCCCCACAAAGGGGAGGAAUCCUGGCGUGUUCAGCCCGUGAGCCUGGUGGAAACAAGAGGAUCUCUAUCUUGACCUGAGAUGCUCCAGACGUGACUCUGGCAUAGCCUAGCUUGCUGGGGUGGGGGUGGGGAAGGCAGAGUCGAAUGUUCGCAACCUGUAAGUCUCACCCCGAGUGCUUCAGAAUCACCCCGGGGAGAUUUUUUAAAAAUGCCACUUUCUGGGCCCACCUCUGAUGGUGCUGAUUCAUCCGGAUGGGGGUGUGGCCAGGCAUCAAGGUGUUUGGAGCUCUCAGGUGACUUCCGGCGCAGCCAGGGCAAGGGCUCUGAGCCUUGCAUUUUCCCCAGAUGACCUCAGAAGGCCCCUUCGAAGGAAAUACCUAACGUCAGGGGUCAUAAGAAUCUCCCAGGGAGCAUGUUAAACGCAGAUACCCCUGGAGAGUGAGAUUAUGUGGGUCGGGGGUGGCAGACAUCAUCGGUGCUGUUAACAAGCUCCUACCCCAGGGAGUGGUGUUACAGGUGGGCCCACAGGCCACAGUGUGAGAAGCCCAGCGGCCUGUGCCUUGGCACAAGCGGGGUGGAACCGUGGUGGGCCUACCGUAAGGAGUUUGUGCGCUAAGGUGUAAAUGAGGCAGAGACAGCUCCCCAGAUGCCUUUACCAUGAAAAGCCUCCAGAAAGCCUCAUGAUGUUGGAGCAGGUGGCCAUGACCACACCAGAGGACAAAACCAGAUAAUUCAGUCACGGCCCUCUGGAUGCAGACCGAGUUCUUUUCCCAGCUGCCCAGCCGCCUGGGCCCUCAAUAACCCACCGCCCCUCCCUCGGUUAAACCACAGGCACCCAAAGCAGCCAGAUGUAGUGAGAUUCCCAGGUGUGUCUUUCAACCAGGAUGGGUCCACAGAGCCCCCUGGCGUGUGGACCACACGUUCUCCUUCCUCUCUUGGCUCUUCAUAUAGAGGUGCAAGUGGCCUUUUCUCAAUCCUCCCACUUUGUUUGGGGGCCCUUGCUCCCUGGGGGAGGCACUCGUGUCCUUGGUCAAAGCCAGCCUUGGGGAAUAGAGGCGUGGUGCAACCCCUGGCUGACGGUCUUUGCAGUACUUUAGGCCCAGGCUUGGUUACCGGCAAGCUUAUGGUGCCCCGCCCCGCCCCUACUCGGGUCUACACUGGGGGCCACUGCGCGCUGGCCCUUUGGACCCUUCCUGAUACCCCAUGUCUGGACGGAAGAGGUAUGCACAGAGGGGCAUCAGAGAUCUAGAAGAAGGACCAGGGAGGCUUAUCUAGCCACGAAGUAACUGCCAAUGUCUGAGGAUGCACUGGAGGAGGAGAGCAGUCCUGGACCCCCUGGGCCACCGCUCAGACCUCAGAGGGGACAGGCUGAGCCAGAUGAAGGCCUUUGGGGACUGUGGGCACUACAAAAGGAUUACCAUCGCCAACUCCCUGCCCUCAUCCCGAGCUUUGACUUCCUCCUGCUCCACUGAAGUAACACUUUUCUAGAUAUUUCUCGUCGCAAAAUUCUGGAUGAGUCCGUCGAAGCUGACUUUUUUUCUAUAACAACAAGGCCUCGCUUCUUGUCGCCAGCUUAGCUGGUGCCCAGACAAAGGGGCGGGCAGCAGUGUGUGUCAGCAUUUUGCUGGGUUUACUGGCAUCCUCCUAGGCUGGGACAUCUCUCCAGGAGGGGACCUCUGUACUGCCGGUUCCUGGAGCAGGCACAAAGUAGGUGGUCACUAAAAGGAAAAGAUGGCAGGAAAAGGAAACGGAAGGCGGAAGGAGGGGACUGGGGAUUUCACGGCCUUUAUUGACUGGAGGGUUCAUGGCAUUCUCCUGCCGGUGAGUCCUCGACUGUGGAGUUUUACAAAGCCGUAACAGUUCGAAUAAAAGUCUGGGAAAGCAA